rnacentral:hammerhead_ribozyme from 1 species
GUCCAGCUGACGAGUCCCAAAUAGGACUUGAGGCGCGUCAAGCUGGAU